ACAACCCGCCAUCCGGGGCCCUCCGAGUGGCGGGACGGGACCGUGCCGUCCGCCGGGACUUGUAGUUUCCCGUUCUUGCGGCCGCCAUUCUUGGACUUCCAUGAGGGGAAGGAGGAGGAAAGAAAAACGUCAAAUUCGUCGGCGUUGCACUCCAGGAUAAUGCAGCAUAUUUGACUGAAUAAAGAUAAGGCUACUAACAGAAGACCGAUUUAGGACUAUUAUCACGUAGUGUUUUGUGUGAUGGACCUGGACCCAUUUGGAGCAAACUCAAACCCGUUACAAACCAUUGCAGCUAGGAAAGAUUUGAAAGUCUGAGGCCCGGGAACAAGUGUGUGCUAGACCAUUCCUGAUGAAGGGCUUUUGCCCGAAACAUUGAUUUUCCUGCUCCUUGGAUGCUGCCUGAUAUGCUGUGCUUUUCCAGCACCACACUCUUGACUCUGAUCUCCAGCAUCACUUUCACCUUGUAAAUCCAGCCUGGAGAGAGCCUUCCAAAGUACAUGGCUGCUAUUGAAGAGAGAGCGCAAUUUCGUGAAAGAACAAUCAGUGGUGGAAGUGAAGUCAUUGAACAGUGGCAAAUUACUACAGAUGCUGGAAUCGGUACUGAAAACAACAAAUGCUGGCGAUCACAGUGGGUCAGGCAACAUCCAGGGAGAGAGCAAACUAACAUUUCAAGUUUAGAUGACUUCAUCAAAGCUGACAUGAAGUGUGGAGGGGACAGCAUUUAUGCUAUAGUUUGUAGAGGGGGUAGUGGGUGUAGGGUGCCGAUGUACGAAAAUCUGAUCCAUCAAUGCUUAAGCUAGUUAUGUUUCUUCUUAUAUUAAAUGUAGUACACAUUUGUUUGGAAGAUUGACCCACUGAGUAACCGGAUGGUGAAUUUAAAAUGGAUUCUGUAGAAUUGAAUAUUAUUUAAUUUCUCUCUCCGCCAAAGAGACCAUUAGGGAGAGUCAAUUGCACAGUGACACACAAAUCAAGUAGCCAAGGAUUAAAGACAUGGCUUUUGAGACAGCAGCAGUGACUGUAUCAACUUUGCAUGUGAUGAGAAAGAAGAGGACACUUGAGACCACAGUUAGUAAGAUAUAGAGUCAUAGAGAUGUACAGCAUGGAAACAGACCCUUUGGUCCAACUCGUCCAUGCCAACCUGAUAUCCUAAACUAAUCUAGUCCUAUUUGCCAGUAUUUGGUCCAUAUCUCUCUAAACCCUGCCUAUUCAAAUACCCAUCCAGAUGCCUUUUAAUUGUACCAGCUUCCACCAUUUCCUCUGACUGCUCAUUCCUUACACACACCACCCUCUGCGAGAAAAAGUUGCCACUUAGGUCCCUUUAGAAUCUUUCCCCACCCACCUUAAACCUAUGCCCUCUAGUUAUCUUUUCAUUUAAGUCAUAGAGUUUUACAACACAGGAAGAGGCCCUUUGGCCUAUCAUGUCUGUGGAAAUCAUCAAACACCCGUCUCCUGUAAUCUCAUUUUCCAGCACUUGGUCCAUAACUUGUAAACUGUGGUGCAUCAAGUGAUCAUUUAAAUAGUUUAAAAUGUUGUGAUGGUUCAUAACUCUAACACCCUUUGAAACAAUGAGUUCCAAAUACCCACCAACCUCUGUGCGCAAACAUGCUUAACUUCCUGACCAGCACAGACUCAAAGGGAAGAAAUGUGUUUUUCUGUGCUGUUAACGUCAAGGACUCUAUGAACAAAAGCCUGCUCUUUACUUUUAAAUCUAUACUCCCUUGUUAUUGACCUUUCAACUAUGGGGAACAGCUGCUUUCUGUCUACCUUUUCCAUGUCCCUCAUAAUUGUGUAUACCUCAAUCAGGUCACCCCUCAACCUUCUCUGCUCCAAGGAAAACAAACCCAGCCUAUCUAGUCCCUCUUAAUAGCUGAAAUGCUACAGUGUAGGAAACAUACUGGUGAAUCUCUUCUACAUCCUGUCUAGUGUGACCACAUCCUUCCUUCACAAUUCUUCCUAGUAGUGUGGUGACCAGAACCAAACUCAAUAGUCCAGUUGUGGCCUAACUAAUAUCAUAACCUCCUUGCUCAAAUCCUUUAAAAUCUCAACUGAUAAAAGCGAGUAACCAAUGUGUCUUCUUAACCACCUUACCUAUCUAUCCUGUUGCCUUCAAUGAUCUGUGAAAAUGCACACCAAUGUCUCUUUGUAUUUGCAACUGUUGUUGGAGAUAUAUUAAAAGCUUCUGAUGACUAUGACUUCACAAUUCCUGAAUGCUUAUUUCUCCUCAAGAAGAAAAAAUUGUCCAGUUGAAGGUAGCCCAAAACCUUGGUUCACGAUUGCCACAAGUGAAAUCAUGUUGGAAAGUGUCAAUGGAGACUGUGUGACUUAAUGGCUGACCUCAGCUUCUCGUCCACAGGAGCAGGAGGAAGAAGCAAGAUCCUCCAGUUUGUAGGAAACACCAGAACUGCAACCCCAAACCCAAACACAUCUUCCAUAAAGAGAUAAAAACAUCUCAAAGCUGCGACAAAGUGUUGAGAGACUGAAAUAAGAAAGGGUAGACAGUGCCAAAGAGUGGAAUCGCUUCAGGCUCAGAAUACAAAGCUUGUAAAAACACUCAGAAUUGGGUAGCUCAUUUAUUUUGUACAUUACUUUGUGGUUAAAACAGCACUGAAUGUGAGACAGAUACCUAAAUGUACUUUGGCUCAGGGGCCUCCUGAAAUGGUACAAAUGACUUUUCAUGUUUG